UACAGAGGUCUCGAGCGUUGUUCGGAUUCAUUGGGCGUAAAGGGUGCGUAGGUGGCGCUGUAAGUCAGGUGUGAAAUUUCGGAGCUUAACUCCGAAACUGCAUUUGAUACUGCGGUGCUUGAGGACUGGAGAGGAGACUGGAAUUUACGGUGUAGCAGUGAAAUGCGUAGAGAUCGUAAGGAAGACCAGUGGCGAAGGCGGGUCGUCUGGACAGUUCCUGACACUGAGGCACGAAGGCCAGGGGAGCAAACGGG
rnacentral:rRNA from 1 species